rnacentral:rRNA from 1 species
AGUGAACGCUGGCGGUAGGCCUAACACAUGCAAGUCGAACGGCAGCACAGGAGAGCUUGCUCUCUGGGUGGCGAGUGGCGGACGGGUGAGGAAUACAUCGGAAUCUACUCUGUCGUGGGGGAUAACGUAGGGAAACUUACGCUAAUACCGCAUACGACCUACGGGUGAAAGCAGGGGACCUUCGGGCCUUGCGCGAUUGAAUGAGCCGAUGUCGGAUUAGCUAGUUGGCGGGGUAAAGGCCCACAAAGGCGACGAUCCGUAGCUGGUCUGAGAGGAUGACCAGCCACACUGGAACUGAGACAGGGUCCAGACUCCUACGGGAGGCAGCAGUGGGGAAUAUUGGACAAUGGGCGCAAGCCUGAUCCAGCCAUACCGCGUGGGUGAAGAAGGCCUUCGGGUUGUAAAGCCCUUUUGUUGGGAAAGAAAUCCAGCUGGCUAAUACCCGGUUGGGAUGACGGUACCCAAAGAAUAAGCACCGGCUAACUUCGUGCCAGCCGCCGCCGUAA